ensembl:lncRNA
AGAACUGUCUUUAUAAAUCAGAGAAAAUCAGAGUGGUCUUUAUAAAUCAGUGAGGCCCCACACUGCUACAUUAUAACUGGCCAGGGGCCCCACACUGCUACAUCAUCAAUGGCCAGGGGCCCCACACUGCUGCAUCAUAACUGGCCAGGGGCCCCACACUGCUACAUCAUCACUGGCCAGGGGCCCCACACUCCUACAUCAUAACUGGCCAGGGGCCCCACACUGCUACAUCAUCACUGGCCAGGGGCCCCACACUGCUACAUCAUAACUGGCCAGGGGCCCCACACUGCUACAUCAUCACUGGCCAGGGGCCCCACACUGCUACAUCAUACCAUUAAUAUCACAUCAUAACUGACCAGGGAGCCCACACUGCUACAUCAUCACUGGCCAGGGGCCCCACACUGCUACAUCAUCACUGGCCAGGGGCCCCACACUGCUACAUCAUACCAUUAAUAUCACAUCAUAACUGACCAGGGGCCCCACACUGCUACACCAUAACUGGCCAGGGGCCCCAC